rnacentral:rRNA from 1 species
UGGGGAAUAUUGGACAAUGGGCGCAAGCCUGAUCCAGCCAUGCCGCGUGAGUGAUGAAGGCCCUAGGGUUGUAAAGCUCUUUCACCGGUGAAGAUAAUGACGGUAACCGGAGAAGAAGCCCCGGCCAACUUCGUGCCAGCAGCCGCGGUAAUACGAAGGGGGCUAGCGUUGUUCGGAUUUACUGGGCGUAAAGCGCACGUAGGCGGACUUUUAAGUCAGGGGCGAAAUCCCGGGGCUCAACCCCGGAACUGCCUUUGAUACUGGAAGGCUUGAGUAUGGUAGAGGUGGGUGGAAUUCCGAGUGUAGAAGUGAAAUUCGUAGAUAUUCGGAGGAACACCAGUGGCGAAGGCGGCUCACUGGACCAUUACUGACGCUGAGGUGCGAAAGCGUGGGGAGCAAACAGG